UGUGGGAGCUGGCUUGCCAGCGAUGACGGCGGCACAUCCGACAUUGAUGUAACAGAUGCACCGCUAUCGCUGGCAAGCCAGCUCCCACA
rnacentral:antisense_RNA from 1 species